rnacentral:misc_RNA from 1 species
AUCAAAUCAUUUGUUCUCUAGUUCAGAGCAUCGUCGGGUUGCUGCGGAACGGCGGCUGCGACUUGACGCCUGUGUCGGUCACGGAGGUAGAGGACAGUCAGGAGGCAGAUGAAUAGGGUUAUUAUAGUCGCAUUGCCUUCGUCCAAGAGCACGUCCUCCACCCAGUUCUCAAUUCUCUGGUAGAUUUGGGGAAGUGAAUCGAUUAUUUCAACCAGA